AACCACAGCCAAGGGAACGGG
rnacentral:ncRNA from 2 species